rnacentral:tRNA from 2 species
GCGUUCAUAGCUCAGCUGGAUAGAGCGUUGGUCUACGGAACCAAAGGUCGGGGGUUCGAAUCCCUCUGGACGCACCA